GGAGUUGGUAGCUCAGUGGUAGAGUGCAUGCUUUGUGUGUAUGAUGUCUUGGGUCCAAUCGCCUGCUUCUCCC